GAUAAGCUGCAGCAUCUUUGAUAAGUUGGCUGUCUUUGGCUGUCAGUUUAUCAUCAGCUUAUCAUCUUAGCUGUCAGGAUGGGUGGCUGCUGGUCAUGGGUGAACUGUAAGUAAGUCUCCGGCAUGAUGGGGAAGCAAAAUCUAAUGGCUGCCUGGACUUGGUUUUUAAAGAUGCCCUUCCAUGGUUUUACAUGCCAUUGUGCUCCCUAUGUGAACUUCAGUGGUCACAAGUUCACCACCAGUAUUCACACCACACAGCUUCUCCUUGAAAUGCAGGUGGCCCUCGAAGGUCACUUGCUGGGCUGAUUUCCACUGUAUUUCUUAAGCUUACAGGUCCUAGACCUGUGAAACUGUAGCACCCAGGAGCUACUGGCUGGCCCCUGUGGGCCCACUUGGGGUUUUUUUUGGGGGGGGGGAAUCCUGCCCACCAGUUCAAGCUGACUUCAAAAGCUGCCCCCCCAAACCCCCAUGUUAUUUCCAAGAACAUGCCUAACCUUUUCUUCUUUCAUGUUCCCAUAGGUCUCACCCAGAGGCAGAACCAAAAUGAGUUGCUUUUUUCCCUCUUGACUCCUCUUAAUGCUUUUGGCUCUGGUGUGGCCAUCUGAAGUGAUGGGUGUGGAGGGGGUUGUUCAGACAUAGCCCAAACCCAGGUAAAAGUGUGCCAUCGAGUCGGUGUCAACUCCUGGUGACCACAGAGUCCUGUGGUUGCCUUUGGUAGAAUACAGGAGGGGUUUACCAUUGCCAUCUCCCACGCAGUAUGAGAUGAUGCCUUUCAGCACCUUCCUAUAUCGCUGCUGCCCGAUAUAGGUGUUUCCCAUAGUCUGGGGAACAUACAGGCGGGGAUUCGAGUUGUCACAAAUUUAAACCCUCUUAUUCAAAUUUUAAAAACCAAAACAGUAUGUAUGUUUUUUUAGGUGAAGUGUCCCCCUUUUGCGGGGGGGGGGGCUUUCUAAAAAGUUGAAAAUCUUCUCUGGAGAGGGGUGGGAAAGCUGGCCUCAUAUCUAUAAACUACGAGAGUGGGUCUGCCCCCUGCCCUGUCAACCAGUCAAUCCCCAAGUGAAAACAAUCUGAGCAAAAUGUAGUGAGUGACUUUCAAUAGCAAUUACUUUCACUGCUCCCAAGUAUUGAAUCAUCCAAAAUUAGCAGGGCCUUCUAGAAGGAUUAUUGGUGAGGGCAUGCUUGGGAUGGCACAGCACCCCCUAGGAUUACUGGGGGGACCCCUCAAUUUCCUGUGAUUCGCUACUAAGAAUGUUUCUCCUUAUCUCUGCAGGGAUGAAGAUGAAGAGGGGGCACAGACUGAAAUGAGGGUUCGCCGCAUUUCCCAGCAGUUCCCUCGUUCUCUCCAGGCCAUCAACCUGCAAAUUGGACACACACGGAUAAGGCUCAUCCGCAGUGAAGUUCAGCUGCAACGGUGGGGAACGGAAGGUGACCAAGCUCUGAUGCCUGUAAUUCAGACAGUUUCUCAUGAUGUUCCUGAAGGCCCUGCUGCAUGUCUCCGCCCCCCUGGGUCCAGUUCAUUAUUAUCUUCUGCCUCGCUGGGAGUUGGCUCCAUCCCACCCUCCACCUCCACCUCUUCUUUCCUCCUCCAUCCCUCCCCCCUCCUCCUCCUCCUUCCCCACCUCCCCUAGAGCCAGACCUCAGCAAUGUAAAAGAAACUCUGCAGAGUUUGAUGGAUUUGCAGUUCCAUCAGCUGAAUGACUGCCAAAGAGACCUCCGCAGCUGCCAGGAAUGUUUGCAAAACCUCAAGGCACUGAGGGGACAGCUCCGGAGACUGCGGAGCAGACUGGCAAGGGUGGAAGCCACCAUGGGGAUCCUGGUUCCUCCAAGGGAGCUGGAUGUUGAUGAGGAAAAAGAGGAAGACAAAAACCAGACAGUACUUCAUGCAUAAGUAGCAAUAAAAUGCUGCAUAUUUAUUUUAAAAAUAUUAAACAUUUGUUUUAAUAGGAUGUAGAGAUAAAACAGCAAUAUAACAUGCAUAUUUACUGCUUAAAAAUUAAA